rnacentral:lncRNA from 1 species
UUUGGCACCUUUCCAUGACCAGGAUCUCUACAGGACUCUGCCUGAGAUAGUUUGAGAAAUUUUAUACAUUCCUCCAAAGAGGAAGAAAUUAAAAUUGAGAGAGGUUAACAAUUGUGCCCAAGGCUACAUAGCUACUAAGCAAACCAGAUCUAUGCUCAAAGCCCAUGCAGGACUGUAACCACGGUGCAAGACCAAUCCUCCUGCUUGGAGAACUCAUCCAACUCCACAUCUAUAUCUUCAGGUUGGACUCUCUUCUUCAACCCAUGUACAUGUCCAGCAUUCCCUCAUCAUUGACAAAUACUUUCCUUUGACUUUACUGAUUCUCUGACUACCACUUUUUCAAUGAAGAAAGACUUCCCUGGCCAGGUGCCAUCCCUCGGUGCUUCCACGGUUACUGACGCGUGUAUUCUCCACAGCAAUUACAACUGGAUCAAAAUC